UGGAAGGAAGCAGGCUGUGCAUUCCCUGACAGCCCUUUCCCUGAGGGGAUGAAGCAGAAAGGUGAAGGAAACAUCCCAUGGAAAUGGAUGGUUCUGAAGCAUGAUAUUCCUGUGUAACCUGUCUAGAUUCAUCCUGUGGAGUCAAGCACCUAGCUGUGUGCCUUGUGAAACAGCAGCCGGUUCAAAAAGCCACCUUCUCUACCUCCUUUCUCUUUCCCUUCAUUCUGGCUUCCCUGGGAUUGUACCUCUUAAUAAAAUUUUAACACUUAA
rnacentral:lncRNA from 1 species